rnacentral:rRNA from 1 species
GAUGAACGCUGGCGGCGUGCCUAAUACAUGCAAGUCGAGCGAACAGACGAGGAGCUUGCUCCUCUGACGUUAGCGGCGGACGGGUGAGUAACACGUGGAUAACCUACCUAUAAGACUGGGAUAACUUCGGGAAACCGGAGCUAAUACCGGAUAAUAUAUUGAACCGCAUGGUUCAAUAGUGAAAGACGGUUUUGCUGUCACUUAUAGAUGGAUCCGCGCCGCAUUAGCUAGUUGGUAAGGUAACGGCUUACCAAGGCAACGAUGCGUAGCGGACCUGAGAGGGUGAUCGGCCACACUGGAACUGAGACACGGUCCAGACUCCUACGGGAGGCAGCAGUAGGGAAUCUUCCGCAAAGGGCGAAAGCUUGACGGAGCAACGCCGCGUGAGUGAUGAAGGUCUUCGGAUCGUAAAACUCUGUUAUUAGGGAAGAACAAAUGUGUAAGUAACUAUGCACGUCUUGACGGUACCUAAUCAGAAAGCCACGGCUAACUACGUG